AGCAAGGCAGUACCUACAGCUCCUGGAGCAGAAGCCCAGCCUGGAGAGGUGGGAGAGUGCCCAGACAAGCCCAGCACAGCUCCUCGCUGAAGAGGCAGUGCUCACCAUCAGGCAUGGUCUUCCUUGGGGAAUGGGCACCACCAGCACUGGCCUUAGCGUCAAGUACAGGGAACUCAGAAGCUCCCAUCGGACAUGACAGGGCUAGUGAGAGCCACUGGCACAGGCACCCUGGGAGGCUGUCGGGUGCUCUGCACCACAGCAGAAGUGGACACUUCCCUCCAGCUGUGCCUGCUGGGCCCGCAGCAGGACCACUCUCUCAGCAGCCUAGUGAGCUUUGGAAGUGCAUUCAAACAAUUUCUCCCUGCAAACCAGCAUGAAGCCAGGGUCCAGGCACACAGUUGGGACCAGCCCUGGAGGCCAAUGCCAUUUGAAUGUGUGAAGUGGCUGAGAUCCGAUUCCUCUGAGAGCAUCGGCUGAGCACCCUUUGCACAUCUGGAAUGCAGCCAGGGGAUGCAGGCCACCUCUUUCAAGUCCCUAACUUGGGUGGCAGUCUGAUAUUCAUCCCUCCCUAUGUCCGCACUGCAAUCCUGGCAGAAGCUGUGGGCAUGGAGUGAGGCAGGCCCAGCUUCUGCUCAUCUCAGGGCCAGCCCUGACAUGCUGGGGAUUCCUGUGCGUUAUCAUAGGUCAUUACCAGGACAUCUUACAGACAGCAAAUCGCUGCUGUCAGCACCAAUCAUCCAACAGUGCAAGUGCUUUUUCCAGCAAAAACACUCUUUGCCUUGGCCACAGUCACAGAUGUACUUGAAGAGACAUCACUGAUGCCUAAGGAGUAUGGGUUUGCUGCAUCCAAACUAGAAAAAACUGAGGGCUUUGCUCCGAUCUCUGCAUCCUGAAGAACAUGCCUGCUAUGCUGAUUACCAAAUUCUUGCUAUCAGUACAGGUGCCUAACCGUAUCCAUAAGCCACAGGUACAUACAGGAGGCAAGAGAAAGCUGAAACCUGCCACAGAGGUGAGGAGUGAGGACAUAAGCAAAAGUACCAGCUUUUGAAACACUGCUCUGAGGAAACAUGGCACUCACACCCAUUUCCAUUACCUCAAGCAAGAUCACUGCUGGGAUCACUAACAUGGAGCGCAGAAUUCACAGCACUCUUGAAACCACACAAAAAAGCCCUGUAGCAGCAGGGCUGUGUACAUGUGGUGGUGCCAUGCAGCUCCCCAAGUGUGGUCUCCCUCCCCUCCAUAC
rnacentral:lncRNA from 1 species